GAUGAAGAACGUAGCGAAAUGCGAUAAGUAAUGUGAAUUGCAGAAUUCAGUGAAUCAUCGAAUCUUUGAACGCACCUUGCGCCCUUUGGCUAUUCCGAAGGGCAUGCCUGUUUGAGUAUCAUGAACACCUCAACUCUCAUGGCUUGCCAUGAAGAGCUUGGACUAUGGGGGUCUUGCUGGCCUGUGGUCGGCUCCUCUCAAAUGAAUCAGCUUGCCGGUGUUUGGUGGCGUCACAGGUGUGAUAACUAUCUACGCUUGUGGUGUUUUCCACCAGGUAACCUUCAGCAAUGGAGGUUCGCUGGGGCUCAUAAAACUCUCUCCUCGGUGAGGACAGCUCUUUUUGAACGUUUGAUCUCAAAUCAGGUAGGACUACCCGCUGAACUUAAGCAUAUCAAUAAGCGGAGAA
rnacentral:misc_RNA from 1 species